UACGUAGGGGGCAAGCGUUGUCCGGAAUUAUUGGGCGUAAAGAGCGUGUAGGCGGUCCGAUAAGUCGGCUGUGAAAGUCCAGGGCUCAACCCUGGGAUGCCGGUCGAUACUGUCGGACUAGAGUUCGGAAGAGGCGAGUGGAAUUCCCGGUGUAGCGGUGAAAUGCGCAGAUAUCGGGAGGAACACCUAUGGCGAAGGCAGCUCGCUGGGACGUUACUGACGCUGAGACGCGAAAGCGUGGGGAGCGAACAGG
rnacentral:rRNA from 1 species